UACGAAGGGUGCAAGCGUUAAUCGGAAUUACUGGGCGUAAAGCGUGCGUAGGCGGUGAGUUAAGUCUGUCGUGAAAUCCCCGGGCUCAACCUGGGAAUGGCGAUGGAUACUGGCUCGCUAGAGUGUGAUAGAGGAUGGUGGAAUUCCCGGUGUAGCGGUGAAAUGCGUAGAGAUCGGGAGGAACACCAGUGGCGAAGGCGGCUCACUGGCCCGGUACUGACGCUGAGGUGCGAAAGCGUGGGGAGCAAACAGG
rnacentral:rRNA from 1 species